GACGAACCGUGCGACCGUUAUUCGGAAUCACUGGGCUUAAAGGGCGCGUAGGCGGGUCCGUAAGUCAGGGGUGAAAUCCCACGGCCCAACCGUGGAAGUGCCUCUGAUACUGCGGGCCUCGAGGGGGAUAGGGGCGUGCGGAACUCAGGGUGGAGCGGUGAAAUGCGUAGAUAUCCUGAGGAACACCGGUGGCGAAAGCGGCGCGCUGGAUCCCUUCUGACGCUGAGGCGCGAAAGCCAGGGGAGCAAACGGG
rnacentral:rRNA from 1 species